AUUGAACGCUGGCGGCAGGCCUAACACAUGCAAGUCGAACGAGUGGCGGACGGGUGAGUAAUGUCUGGGAAACUGCCCGAUGGAGGGGGAUAACUACUGGAAACGGUAGCUAAUACCGCAUACCAUCGGAUGUGCCCAGAUGGGAUUGGCUAGUAGGUGGGGUAAAGGCUCACCUAGGCGACGAUCCCUAGCUGGUCUGAGAGGAUGACAAGCAACACUGGAACUGAGACACGGUCCAGAAUCAUACGGGAGGCAGCAGGGGGGAAUAUUGCACAAUGGGCGCAAGCCUGAGGCAGCCAUGCCGCGUGUAUGAAGAAGGCCUUCGGGUUGUAAAGUACUUUCAGCGGGGAGGCGUUACCCGCAGAAGAAGCACCGGCUAACUCCGUGCCAGCAGCCGCGGUAAUUC
rnacentral:rRNA from 1 species